GACGAACGCUGGCGGCGUGCUUAACACAUGCAAGUCGAACGGAAAGGCCCUGCUUUUGUUGGGUGCUCGAGUGGCGAACGGGUGAGUAACACGUGAGUAACCUGCCCUGGACUUUGGGAUAACUUCAGGAAACUGGUGCUAAUACCGGAUAGGAGCUCCUGCUGCAUGGUGGGGGUUGGAAAGUUUCGGCGGUUGGGGAUGGACUCGGGGCUUAUCAGCUUGUUGGUGGGGUAGUGUCCUACCAAGGCUUUGACGGGUAGCCGGCCUGAGAGGGUAACCGGCCACAUUGGGACUGAGAUACGGCCCAGACGGCUACGGGAGGCAGCGGUGGAGAAUAUUGCACAAUGGGGGGAAGCCUGAUGCAGCGACGCCGCGUGCGGGAUGACGGCCUGCGGGUUGUAAACCGCUUUCGCCUGUGACGGAGCGUGAGUGACGGUAAUGGGUAAAGAAGCACCGGCUAACUACGUG
rnacentral:rRNA from 1 species